GGGGAGCCGUAAGUAGGCUUUGAUCCGGAGGUCUCCGAAUGGGGGAACCCAGCAUGUGCAGACAUGCUAUCCUUAAGUGAAUACAUAGCUUAAGGAGGGAACACGCAGUGAACUGAAACAUCUAAGUAGCUGCAGGAAGAGAAAGAAAUAUCGAUUUCCCAAGUAGCGGCGAGCGAACAGGAAAGAGCCCAAACCGGCAGAUUUAUCUGCCGGGGUUGUAGGACUGAGACAUGGCACUUCAGAGGAUAGCAGAAGCGUUUGGGAAAGCGCGCCAGAGAGGGUGAGAGCCCCGUAAGCGAAAUCCAAAGGAGGCCUAUCAGUAUCCUGAGUAGGGCGGGACACGUGAAAUCCCGUUUGAAUCCGCGAGGACCAUCUCGCAAGGCUAAAUACUAACCAGUGACCGA
rnacentral:rRNA from 1 species